rnacentral:lncRNA from 1 species
CUACAAGUGGAAGGUAGAAUGGAAAUUACAAUAAAAAAAUCCUAAUUCUAAUAGAAUACUAAAUAAAUUCUAAUUAAAUCUUAAAAAUGCUAAACAAGCUUUAAUCAAAUUCAAAAGAAACCUUAAAGAAAUUAUAAAAGAAAUUAUAAAAGAAAUUAUAAAAAAAAUUAUAAAAGAAAUUAUAAAAGAAAUAAUAAAAAAUCUUAAAAGAGUUGAAAGAUAAAUCACAAUAAAACUUUAAAAAAACCUUUAAGAAGCUCUAAAAAUAUUAAAAUAAUGAUAAUAUAUCUUAAAUAAAUCUCAAUCAAUUCUAAUUUAAUCUUAAUUAAAACCCUAAUGGACUUCAAUCAAAUCCUAUACAAAUAUUAAAUCCUAAACUAAAUUCUAUGUAAAUCUUAAACUCUAAACCAAAUCCUAAAUGAAUCCUAAAUCCUACAUGAAUCCUAAAUCCUACAUGAAUCCUAAAUCCUAGAUGAAUCCUAAAUCCUAAAUUCAACCCUAAUAAAAUCCUUAACCUUAAAUCAAAUUUUAAACAAAUCGUAAAUCUUAAAUCAAAUCCUGUACAAAUCUCAAAUUUUAGAGCAAAUACUAAACAAAUCCUAAACUUUAAACCAAAUCCUAAUCAUAUCCUAAAUCCUAAAUCAAAUCCUAAUCAAAUUCUAAAUUCUAAACUAAAUCCUAAUCAAAUUCUAAUCAAAUUUUAAAUCUUAAACCAAAUCCUAACCAAAUUCUAAUCAAAUCCUAACCAAACUUUAAAUCCUAAAUCAAA